rnacentral:rRNA from 1 species
AUUGAACGCUGGCGGCAGGCCUAACACAUGCAAGUCGAGCGGAUCAAGGGAGCUUGCUCCUGGAUUCAGCGGCGGACGGGUGAGUAAUGCCUAGGAAUCUGCCUGGUAGUGGGGGAUAACGUCCGGAAACGGGCGCUAAUACCGCAUACGUCCUGAGGGAGAAAGUGGGGGAUCUUCGGACCUCACGCUAUCAGAUGAGCCUAGGUCGGAUUAGCUGGUUGGUGGGGUAAAGGCCUACCAAGGCGACGAUCCGUAACUGGUCUGAGAGGAUGAUCAGUCACACUGGAACUGAGACACGGUCCAGACUCCUACGGGAGGCAGCAGUGGGGAAUAUUGGACAAUGGGCGAAAGCCUGAUCCAGCCAUGCCGCGUGUGUGAAGAAGGUCUUCGGAUUGUAAAGCUCUUUAAGUUGGGAGGAAGGGCAGUAAGUUAAUACCUUGCUGUUUUGACGUUACCAACAGAAUAAGCACCGGCUAACUUCGUG